UACGUAGGGUGCAAGCGUUAAUCGGAAUUACUGGGCGUAAAGCGCGUGUAGGCGGCCAGGUAGGUCUGCUGUGAAAACUCGAGGCUCAACCUCGAGACGUCGGCGGAAACCAUCUGGCUAGAGUCCGGAAGAGGAGAGUGGAAUUCCCGGUGUAGCGGUGAAAUGCGCAGAUAUCGGGAAGAACACCCGUGGCGAAGGCGGCUCUCUGGGACGGUACUGACGCUGAGACGCGAAAGCGUGGGGAGCGAACAGG
rnacentral:rRNA from 1 species